rnacentral:rRNA from 1 species
GGUUAAGCGACUAAGCGUACACGGUGGAUGCCCUGGCAGUCAGAGGCGAUGAAGGACGUGCUAAUCUGCGAUAAGCGUCGGUAAGGUGAUAUGAACCGUUAUAACCGGCGAUUUCCGAAUGGGGAAACCCAGUGUGAUUCGUCACACUAUCAUUAACUGAAUCCAUAGGUUAAUGAGGCGAACCGGGGGAACUGAAACAUCUAAGUACCCCGAGGAAAAGAAAUCAACCGAGAUUCCCCCAGUAGCGGCGAGCGAACGGGGAGCAGCCCAGAGCCUGAAUCAGUGUGUGUGUUAGUGGAAGCGUCUGGAAAGGCGCGCGAUACAGGGUGACAGCCCCGUACACAAAAAUGCACAUGCUGUGAGCUCGAUGAGUAGGGCGGGACACGUGGUAUCCUGUCUGAAUAUGGGGGGACCAUCCUCCAAGGCUAAAUACUCCUGACUGACCGAUAGUGAACCAGUACCGUGAGGGAAAGGCGAAAAGAACCCCGGCGAGGGGAGUGAAAAAGAACCUGAAACCGUGUACGUACAAGCAGUGGGAGCACGCUUAGGCGUGUGACUGCGUACCUUUUGUAUAAUGGGUCAGCGACUUAUAUUCUGUAGCAAGGUUAACCGAAUAGGGGAGCCGAAGGGAAACCGAGUCUUAACUGGGCGUUAAGUUGCAGGGUAUAGACCCGAAACCCGGUGAUCUAGCCAUGGGCAGGUUGAAGGUUGGGUAACACUAACUGGAGGACCGAACCGACUAAUGUUGAAAAAUUAGCGGAUGACUUGUGGCUGGGGGUGAAAGGCCAAUCAAACCGGGAGAUAGCUGGUUCUCCCCGAAAGCUAUUUAGGUAGCGCCUCGUGAAUUCAUCUCCGGGGGUAGAGCACUGUUUCGGCAAGGGGGUCAUCCCGACUUACCAACCCGAUGCAAACUGCGAAUACCGGAGAAUGUUAUCACGGGAGACACACGGCGGGUGCUAACGUCCGUCGUGAAGAGGGAAACAACCCAGACCGCCAGCUAAGGUCCCAAAGUCAUGGUUAAGUGGGAAACGAUGUGGGAAGGCCCAGACAGCCAGGAUGUUGGCUUAGAAGCAGCCAUCAUUUAAAGAAAGCGUAAUAGCUCACUGGUCGAGUCGGCCUGCGCGGAAGAUGUAACGGGGCUAAACCAUGCACCGAAGCUGCGGCAGCGACGCUUAUGCGUUGUUGGGUAGGGGAGCGUUCUGUAAGCCUGUGAAGGUGUACUGUGAGGUAUGCUGGAGGUAUCAGAAGUGCGAAUGCUGACAUAAGUAACGAUAAAGCGGGUGAAAAGCCCGCUCGCCGGAAGACCAAGGGUUCCUGUCCAACGUUAAUCGGGGCAGGGUGAGUCGACCCCUAAGGCGAGGCCGAAAGGCGUAGUCGAUGGGAAACAGGUUAAUAUUCCUGUACUUGGUGUUACUGCGAAGGGGGGACGGAGAAGGCUAUGUUGGCCGGGCGACGGUUGUCCCGGUUUAAGCGUGUAGGCUGGUUUUCCAGGCAAAUCCGGAAAAUCAAGGCUGAGGCGUGAUGACGAGGCACUACGGUGCUGAAGCAACAAAUGCCCUGCUUCCAGGAAAAGCCUCUAAGCAUCAGGUAACAUCAAAUCGUACCCCAAACCGACACAGGUGGUCAGGUAGAGAAUACCAAGGCGCUUGAGAGAACUCGGGUGAAGGAACUAGGCAAAAUGGUGCCGUAACUUCGGGAGAAGGCACGCUGAUAUGUAGGUGAAGUCCCUCGCGGAUGGAGCUGAAAUCAGUCGAAGAUACCAGCUGGCUGCAACUGUUUAUUAAAAACACAGCACUGUGCAAACACGAAAGUGGACGUAUACGGUGUGACGCCUGCCCGGUGCCGGAAGGUUAAUUGAUGGGGUCAGCGCAAGCGAAGCUCUUGAUCGAAGCCCCGGUAAACGGCGGCCGUAACUAUAACGGUCCUAAGGUAGCGAAAUUCCUUGUCGGGUAAGUUCCGACCUGCACGAAUGGCGUAAUGAUGGCCAGGCUGUCUCCACCCGAGACUCAGUGAAAUUGAACUCGCUGUGAAGAUGCAGUGUACCCGCGGCAAGACGGAAAGACCCCGUGAACCUUUACUAUAGCUUGACACUGAACAUUUGAGCCUUGAUGUGUAGGAUAGGUGGGAGGCUUUGAAGUGUGGACGCCAGUCUGCAUGGAGCCGACCUUGAAAUACCACCCUUUAAUGUUUGAUGUUCUAACGUUGACCCGUAAUCCGGGUUGCGGACAGUGUCUGGUGGGUAGUUUGACUGGGGCGGUCUCCUCCUAAAGAGUAACGGAGGAGCACGAAGGUUGGCUAAUCCUGGUCGGACAUCAGGAGGUUAGUGCAAUGGCAUAAGCCAGCUUGACUGCGAGCGUGACGGCGCGAGCAGGUGCGAAAGCAGGUCAUAGUGAUCCGGUGGUUCUGAAUGGAAGGGCCAUCGCUCAACGGAUAAAAGGUACUCCGGGGAUAACAGGCUGAUACCGCCCAAGAGUUCAUAUCGACGGCGGUGUUUGGCACCUCGAUGUCGGCUCAUCACAUCCUGGGGCUGAAGUAGGUCCCAAGGGUAUGGCUGUUCGCCAUUUAAAGUGGUACGCGAGCUGGGUUUAGAACGUCGUGAGACAGUUCGGUCCCUAUCUGCCGUGGGCGCUGGAGAAUUGAGGGGGGCUGCUCCUAGUACGAGAGGACCGGAGUGGACGCAUCACUGGUGUUCGGGUUGUCAUGCCAAUGGCACUGCCCGGUAGCUAAAUGCGGAAGAGAUAAGUGCUGAAAGCAUCUAAGCACGAAACUUGCCCCGAGAUGAGUUCUCCCUGACUCCUUGAGAGUCCUGAAGGAACGUUGAAGACGACGACGUUGAUAGGCCGGGUGUGUAAGCGCAGCGAUGCGUUGAGCUAACCGGUACUAAUGAACCGUGAGGCUUAACCUU